GCCUGAGUGGCUUAGUCAGUUAAGCCUCUGACUCUCGUUCAGGUCAUGAUCUCUCGGUGUGUGGGUUCAAGCCCUGCGUCAGGCU
rnacentral:tRNA from 1 species